GGAAACUUUGUCCACUCCCUCACAUUAGGAAGCACAGAAAGAGAGUGGGGAAAAAAUUUUGGUUAGGGGCACUGCUGGAUGAGAUGCAACAGGCUCAAUAAGAAGACAGAAAGAAACAAACAACUCGUUUCCGCUUUGCGAGCAGAUCCGCAUGGCCAGAAGGCUCCCUGUAGGGUUGGAGACCCGGCACCAGCAGUGACCAGGAGCUCCAAGAUGAGGGUUGUGUCCAAGCAACUGUUCCAAACAGCCAUUUGUGGGCUUUUCCUCCGUGAACUUAUCUCAAGGAAACCACCCACCUUCCUGGUCUCCAUGGCACCUAGCAGCAAGGGAUCCCCCAUCUCAGCCCCGUGUUCUCCAGAGAUCUCUGGUUCCCCAAACACCAAGAGUCGAGUCUGAGACAGGCUGUCAGCUUUGUUCUGCCAUCACGAACAGCUAUGGCUCACCCUGAUGGUGCCACAAACAACCAAGAGUCUGCCCAGAAUUUCAGGACCCUGCCUUAACUCUGAAAUUCUCAUCUCUCAGCCAGAGAGAGAUCCAGACCUCCUACGGAGAUGAAUAUGCCGCCCGAUGUGUCACGGAUGCUUUGGAAACCGCUUGUGGAUUGCAGGCACUUGCUGCUUAUAAAUGUUGUGCCACUUUUCUCUGCAUACUACUGAUGGGGGUGACAAAAAAAAUUAAUACAACCCUAACAUUUUAAGAGAAGGCUGCUAAAUUCCCUCUGAUCAGAUGUAGUGAUUCUGCUUACCAGGUCAGGGGAUAUAAAUUAAAUUUUCUUCAUUUC
rnacentral:lncRNA from 1 species